rnacentral:tRNA from 1 species
AACUUAGGUUGACCUAUGGCCUUCAAAGCCUUGAGCGAAGGUUAGACCCCUUCAGUUUCUGUAGGACUUG